rnacentral:rRNA from 1 species
GACGAACGCUGGCGGCGUGCUUAACACAUGCAAGUCGAACGGUGAAGGGGCCUGCUUUUGUGGGCCCUGGAUGAGUGGCGAACGGGUGAGUAACACGUGAGUAACCUGCCCCCUUCUUCUGGAUAACCGCAUGAAAGUGUGGCUAAUACGGGAUAUUCUGGGUCUGUCGCAUGAUGGGUCUGGGAAAGAUUGCGCCUUUGGGUGUUUUUGGUGGGGGAUGGGCUCGCGGCCUAUCAGCUUGUUGGUGGGGUGAUGGCCUACCAAGGCGGUGACGGGUAGCCGGGCGGAGAGGGUGGACGGUCACACUGGGACUGAGACACGGCCCAGACUCCUACGGGAGGCAGCAGUGGGGAAUAUUGCACGAUGGGCGCAAGCCUGAUGCAGCGACGCCGCGUGAGAGAGGGAGGCCUUCGGGUUGUAAACCUCUUUCGCCAGUGAAGCAGGCCUGCUCCUUGUGGGUGGGUUGACGGUAGCUGGAUAAGAAGCGCCGGCUAACUACGUG